CGCUCCCCGAACUUAAAAGUAUGAGGAGUCCUGCCUGCCCAGUGACUAGAGGUUAAACGGCCGCGGUAUCUUGACCGUGCGAAGGUAGCAUAAUCAUUUGUCUUCUAAAUAAAGACUAGUAUGAAUGGCAAGACGGAACUAAACUGUCUCUUUUUCACAGAUCCGAAUUUCACUUCCCCGUGAAGAGGCGGGGCUAAAAUCGUUAGACGAGAAGACCCUGUCGAGCUUAUAGCAAAAGAUUAACCGCUAAAACACCUAAACUGCCCUAAUUCAUACAUUUUAGACACGAUAGAUUUUUGGGAUUAAGAUGGAGCUUUGGUUGGGGCAACCGCGGAGUAAGAAAAACCUCCGCUAAAAAUAUUAAUUAUUAAAUUAAGAACUACAGUUCUAAAAUCAAAAUGAUAAAAUGAUCCAUUUAGAUGACCAAAGGAACAAGUUACCGCAGGGAUAACAGCGUUAUCUUUUCUGAGAGUUCACAUUGACGAAAAGGUUUGCGACCUCGAUGUUGGAUCGGGACAUCCUAAGGGUGCAGAAGCUUUUAAGGGUUGGUCUGUUCGACCAUUAAAGUCCUACGUGAUCUGAGUUCAGACCGG
rnacentral:rRNA from 1 species